rnacentral:misc_RNA from 1 species
GGAUCACGUCUAUCGGAGUCCGCGGGAAGGAUUCCGUCUGCGUUGUCACUCAGAAGAAGGUCCCGGACAAGUUACUGGAUCAGACCAGCGUCAGUCAUCUGUUUCCAAUCACGAAGUAUCUUGGCCUGCUGGCUACGGGGAUGACGGCCGACGCGAGGUCUCUGGUUCAUCAAGCAAGGAAUGAAGCUGCCGAGUUUCGUUUCAAAUGGGGAUAUGAGAUGCCCGGUGAUGUAUUGGCCAAAUGGAUAGCCGACAAAGCACAGUUAUAUACCCAGCAUGCCUAUAUGAGACCUCUUGGAGUAGCUACCAUGAUCUUGGGUAUUGAUGAAGAGAAUGGACCUCAACUUUUCAAAUGUGACCCGGCUGGUCAUUUUUUUGGUCACAAGGCCACAAGUGCUGGUUCUAAAGAGCAGGAAGCGAUUAACUUUUUGGAGAAGAAAAU